GACGAACGCUGGCGGCGUGCUUAACACAUGCAAGUCGAGCGAUGAAGCACCUUCGGGUGUGGAUUAGCGGCGAACGGGUGAGGAACACGUGAGGAAUCUGCCUUCCACUCUGGGAUAACUCCGGGAAACCGGGGCUAAUACCGGAUACUUUCACCUGGCGGCAUCGCCGGUUGAAGAAAGUUUUUCGGUGGAAGAUGACCUCGCGGCCUAUCAGCUUGUUGGUGAGGUAAUGGCUUACCAAGGCGACGACGGGUAGCCGGCCUGAGAGGGCGACCGGCCACACUGGGACUGAGACACGGCCCAGACUCCUACGGGAGGCAGCAGUGGGGAAUAUUGGGCAAUGGAGGAAACUCUGACCCAGCGACGCCGCGUGAGGGAUGAAGGCCUUCGGGUUGUAAACCUCUUUCAGCAGGGAAUAAGCGAAAGUGAAGGUACCUGCAGAAGAAGCACCGGCUAACUAUGUGCCAGCAGCCGCGGUAAAAC
rnacentral:rRNA from 1 species